rnacentral:rRNA from 1 species
AUGGCAGAAAGAGCAGAAGGAAGGCCCUCAGAUGCGCUCAGCGUGAUGGUCAUUGAUGAAGAUGAGUUCCAUGCCAACUCUGCAAAAUCCAUUCUCUCUGAAUUGAACUAUUAUGUGGCAGUCUAUACAAGUCCCAUAGAAGCGCUCGGUAUUCUUGAAAAGAAAGCACAUGAUGUUGAUUUUGUCAUAGCAGCGGUGGACAUGGAAGAGUUGAAUGGCUUUCAGUUCCUGGAAGCAGCCAAAGAUAUGCAUCGAAACCUUCAAGUGAUCACAGUGAUGUCAGUAGAUACAACAAUGUACACAAUGAAGAGAUCUAUUGAACUUGGUGCUCGUUUUUUGGCGAAGAAGCCUCUUGAUGCUACUACCAUUCACAAUAUGUGGCAACAUCUUGAUGUAAAAGUUCUUAGGCUGAACAGGAUGAAGUAUCUGUUUCAAGGUGUUGGAGAUAAAGCGCAAGAUGGAGAAGAAGUUGGAGAGUCUGUAGAACAGCAAAAGGAUGGAACUAAAACGACCACUCAUUUCAAAUGGAUACCUUUCCUGGAGAGCAAGUUUUUAUAUGCCCUUCAAAUACUUGGAGCAAAUGCAUCGCCCAGCAAGAUAAAGAUAAUCAUGAACGUGGAUACUGUUACGAGGAAACAAAUUUCUGCGCAUCUGCAGAAACAUCGAAAGCGUAUGAAAAGGGAACAAAACAUGGCAAUGUUUAUGGAUAGCUACGGGAAUUGUGCCUCAAGUUCUAAAUCCGUGAAGACUCGUCAUACAAUCCCUUACAUGUCGGGCUAUCAUUCAGAAGACGAUGUCCAAAGAACAAUGAUGCCAAACUUGUUUGGAGACACUCAAGGCGUUGAUGUAUCUGCAGCAAUGCGAAGAGCCUUACAACUUGGGGCUGUUUUUGACGAGUUCCAGUAUUCCAAUGGUCCUUCUAGUGACGAACCAUGUGAAGUUAUAGGACAUAUAACAGGAGAAGAUGGCAUUGUUGAUGAAGCUAAUGGCUCAAAUUCAUCUAGUCGUGAUCAAGUUGCUGCUCAAACAUACAAUUCAAGAGCUACACAAGCAAUCACAUUCCGGAACAAUUAUCAUCAUGACCAAGUCUCCAACAUAAGUAAGGUUCCAGUUGAGGGCCUUGUAGACUAUCCAGAUUCCGAGGAUUCUGAUUAA